rnacentral:misc_RNA from 1 species
GAUGAAGAAACGUAGCGAAAUGCGAUAAGUAAUGUGAAUUGCAGAAUUCAGUGAAUCAUCGAAUCUUUGAACGCACAUUGCGCCCUCUGGUAUUCCGGGGGGCAUGCCUGUUCGAGCGUCAUUACAACCCUCAAGCUUUGCUUGGUAUUGGACAUUGCCAGUUUCUGGCAGGUCUUAAAAUCAGUGGCGGUGCCAUUUGGCUUCAAGCGUAGUAAUUCUUCUCGCUUUGGAGAUCCAAGUGGUUACUUGCCAAUAACCCCCAAUUUUUUCAGGUUGACCUCGGAUCAGGUAGGGAUACCCGCUGAACUUAAGCAUAUCAAUAAGCGGAGGA